rfam:Schistosoma mansoni strain Puerto Rico chromosome 2, complete genome
AUCCAGCUGACGAAUCCCAAACAGGACGAAACGCGCGUCCUGGAU